GGAUGUAGGAGAUGGUGGCCGUCUCGUAGUCCAGGCAGAGGCGGGAGAGCAGCAGGAGCAGGGCAGGUGGUGUGGCACCCCCCUUCUCCCCAGGGCUGUCGCAGAAGCUCUGAGCCGUCUGGCACAUAGAGUGGACGAAGCCCACGAUGAGGCCCUCACGGACACCCUGACUGCAGAACUCACCCCGGAAGUAGGGCUUGUUGGAGAAGGACACCUCUUUGGCGGUGAAAAG
rnacentral:lncRNA from 1 species